GGUUGUGGCUCAGUGGUAGAGCACACGCCUUACACAUGUGAGGGCGCUGGGUUCGAUCCUUAGCACCA
rnacentral:tRNA from 1 species